rnacentral:rRNA from 1 species
CAGCCGCCGCGGUAAUACGGAGGGGGCUAGCGUUGUUCGGAAUUACUGGGCGUAAAGCGCACGUAGGCGGCUUUACAAGUCAGAGGUGAAAGCCUGGUGCUCAACACCAGAAUUGCCUUUGAGACUGUAUCGCUUGAACGUCGGAGAGGUGAGUGGAAUUCCGAGUGUAGAGGUGAUAUUCGUAGAUAUUCGGAAGAACACCAGUGGCGAAGGCGGCUCACUGGACGACUGUUGACGCUGAGGUGCGAAAGCGUGGGGAGCAAACAGGAUUAGAUACCCCAGUAGUCCCUGUCUCUUAUAC